rnacentral:rRNA from 1 species
AGAGUUUGAUCAUGGCUCAGGAUGAACGCUGGCGGCGUGCCUAACACAUGCAAGUCGAGCGAAGCAUUUUACUUUGAAUCUUUCGGGAGGACGAGUGAUCUGACUGAGCGGCGGACGGGUGAGUAACGCGUGGGUAACCUGCCUCACACAGGGGGAUAACAGUUAGAAAUGACUGCUAAUACCGCAUAAGACCACAGCACCGCAUGGUGCAGGGGUAAAAACUCCGG